rnacentral:rRNA from 1 species
AUUGAACGCUGGCGGCAGGCCUAACACAUGCAAGUCGAACGGUAACAGAAAGCAGCUUGCUGCUUUGCUGACGAGUGGCGGACGGGUGAGUAAUGUCUGGGAAACUGCCCGAUGGAGGGGGAUAACUACUGGAAACGGUAGCUAAUACCGCAUAACGUCGCAAGACCAAAGAGGGGGACCUUCGGGCCUCUUGCCAUCGGAUGUGCCCAGAUGGGAUUAGCUAGUAGGUGGGGUAAAGGCUCACCUAGGCGACGAUCCCUAGCUGGUCUGAGAGGAUGACCAGCCACACUGGAACUGAGACACGGUCCAGACUCCUACGGGAGGCAGCAGUGGGGAAUAUUGCACAAUGGGCGCAAGCCUGAUGCAGCCAUGCCGCGUGUAUGAAGAAGGCCUUCGGGUUGUAAAGUACUUUCAGCGGGGAGGAAGGGAGUAAAGUUAAUACCUUUGCUCAUUGACGUUACCCGCAGAAGAAGCACCGGCUAACUCCGUGCCAGCAGCCGCGGUAAUACGGAGGGUGCAAGCGUUAAUCGGAAUUACUGGGCGUAAAGCGCACGCAGGCGGUUUGUUAGUCAGAUGUGAAAUCCCCGGGCUCAACCUGGGAACUGCAUCUGAUACUGGCAAGCUUGAGUCUCGUAGAGGGGGGUAGAAUUCCAGGUGUAGCGGUGAAAUGCGUAGAGAUCUGGAGGAAUACCGGUGGCGAAGGCGGCCCCCUGGACGAAGACUGACGCUCAGGUGCGAAAGCGCGGGGAGCAAACAGGAUUAGAUACCCUGGUAGUCCACGCCGUAAACGAUGUCGACUUGGAGGUUGUGCCCUUGAGGCGUGGCUUCCGGAGCUAACGCGUUAAGUCGACCGCCUGGGGAGUACGGCCGCAAGGUUAAAACUCAAAUGAAUUGACGGGGGCCCGCACAAGCGGUGGAGCAUGUGGUUUAAUUCGAUGCAACGCGAAGAACCUUACCUGGUCUUGACAUCCACGGAAGUUUUCAGAGAUGAGAAUGUGCCUUCGGGAACCGUGAGACAGGUGCUGCAUGGCUGUCGUCAGCUCGUGUUGUGAAAUGUUGGGUUAAGUCCCGCAACGAGCGCAACCCUUAUCCUUUGUUGCCAGCGGUCCGGCCGGGAACUCAAAGGAGACUGCCAGUGAUAAACUGGAGGAAGGUGGGGAUGACGUCAAGUCAUCAUGGCCCUUACGACCAGGGCUACACACGUGCUACAAUGGCGCAUACAAAGAGAAGCGACCUCGCGAGAGCAAGCGGACCUCAUAAAGUGCGUCGUAGUCCGGAUUGGAGUCUGCAACUCGACUCCAUGAAGUCGGAAUCGCUAGUAAUCGUGGAUCAGAAUGCCACGGUGAAUACGUUCCCGGGCCU